rnacentral:rRNA from 1 species
UACGUAGGGGGCUAGCGUUGUCCGGAAUCAUUGGGCGUAAAGAGCGUGUAGGCGGCCCGGUAAGUCCGCUGUGAAAGUCGAGGGCUCAACCCUCGAAUGCCGGCGGAUACUGUCGGGCUAGAGUCCGGAAGAGGCGAGUGGAAUUCCUGGUGUAGCGGUGAAAUGCGCAGAUAUCAGGAGGAACACCUACGGCGAAGGCAGCUCGCUGGGACGGUACUGACGCUGAGACGCGAAAGCGUGGGGAGCAAACAGG